rnacentral:rRNA from 1 species
UACGUAGGGUGCAAGCGUUAAUCGGAAUUACUGGGCGUAAAGCGUGCGCAGGCGGUUAUGCAAGACAGAUGGGAAAUCCCCGGGCUCAGCCUGGGAACUGCAUUUGUGACUGCAUGGCUAGAGUACGGUAGAGGGGGAUGGAAUUCCGCGUGUAGCAGUGAAAUGCGUAGAUAUGCGGAGGAACACCGAUGGCGAAGGCAAUCCCCUGGACCUGUACUGACGCUCAUGCACGAAAGCGUGGGGAGCAAACAGG